rnacentral:tRNA from 1 species
AAGACUUUAAGUUAUAAAACUAAUAGCCUUCAAAGCUAUAAAUAAAGAUAAUUCUUUAAGCCUUA